UACGAAGGGGGCUAGCGUUGUUCGGAAUUACUGGGCGUAAAGCGCGCGUAGGCGGUGUGCAUAGUCAGGGGUGAAAUCCCGGGGCUCAACCUCGGAAUUGCCUUUGAUACUGGCACGCUUGAAUCCGUGAGAGGGUGGUGGAAUGGCCAGUGUAGAGGUGAAAUUCGUAGAUAUUGGCCGGAACACCAGUGGCGAAGGCGGCCACCUGGCGCGGUAUUGACGCUGAGGCGCGAAAGCGUGGGGAG
rnacentral:rRNA from 1 species